rnacentral:rRNA from 1 species
GUGCACCAGGCGCGAAUACUUUACAAUGCGGGAAACCGUGAUAAGGGAACCUCGAGUGCCGAUGCCCAGCAUUGGCUGUCCACAUGGCCUAAAAAGCAUGUGUUAGCAAGGGCCGGGCAAGACCGGUGCCAGCCGCCGGCGGUAACACCGGCGGCUCGAGUGGUAGCCACUUUUAUUGGGUCUAAAGCGUCCGUAGCCGGCUU